rnacentral:rRNA from 1 species
AUUGAACGCUGGCGGCAUGCCUUACACAUGCAAGUCGAACGGCAGCACGGGGCAACCUGGUGGCGAGUGGCGAACGGGUGAGUAAUGCAUCGGAACGUGCCAUUGAGUGGGGGAUAACGUAGCGAAAGUUGCGCUAAUACCGCAUAUUCUGUGAGCAGGAAAGCAGGGGGACCGCAAGGCCUUGCGCUCUUUGAGCGGCCGAUGUCAGAUUAGCUAGUUGGUGAGGUAACGGCUUACCAAGGCGACGAUCUGUAGCGGGUCUGAGAGGAUGAUCCGCCACACUGGAACUGAGACACGGUCCAGACUCCUACGGGAGGCAGCAGUGGGGAAUUUUGGACAAUGGGCGCAAGCCUGAUCCAGCCAUGCCGCGUGAGUGAAGAAGGCCUUCGGGUUG